GGCAACUCAAAUGGUUAAGCACUCAGCUGCUAACUGAGAGGCUGGUGGUUCGAACCCACCGAGCCA
rnacentral:tRNA from 1 species